rnacentral:rRNA from 1 species
GAGGAUGACAAACCGGGGAAAGGGAAAAAGAAUGGCAAUAUCAAGGGGCAGCAGCACAAUCCGGCAGGUCAUGGGAAUAACGGUAAGCGCAAGGCAGACAAUAGUUUGGACUUCGUGGCUAACAUCAAUGCUCAGGAAAACAGUCAACGUCGUAAGGGUAAACUGUCCCAGAGGGGCGGAGGGUCAGGCCCCAAUCUGGAGCGCCUGUUAAAUCAACCUUGUCCAAAGCACGGAUCGAAAGAAAGGCCCACUUCACAUCUUUGGAAGGAUUGUUUCAUUAUGCGAGAGUUUAAGAAUUCCAAUAUGUUUCAAUAUGACAUGGCCCGCCCGGCGGUUCAGGAG